rnacentral:rRNA from 1 species
UCUUGCCUACGGGAGGCAGCAGUGGGGAAUAUUGCACAAUGGGGGGAACCCUGAUGCAGCAAUGCCGCGUGGGUGAAGAAGUACUCCGGUAUGUAAAGCCCUGUCAGCAGGGAAGAAAAUGACGGUACCUGACUAAGAAGCCCCGGCUAACUACGUGCCAGCAGCCGCGGUAAUACGUAGGGGGCGAGCGUUAUCCGGAUUUACUGGGUGCAAAGGGAGCGCUGGCGGCGUGGCAAGUCAGAUUUGAAAACCCGGGCCC